AACUUCAAAUCGUAAAGAGACUUCGUUUUAUGCUAAGAGCCAACAGUCUAGCCUAACGAGUCAAGCACCAGACGUGAAACGUCCCUACGGUUGCCCCUGACCAAUAGCAAGAGUCGGAAGUUUACGUCCUGCUGCAGGUCUGCUCGGUCUUUGGCAAGCCGCCGGAGAGAUUUCAAGAGGUUGUGCCAUCUACGCUUGAAGCGUAAUUUUUUACGUUCUUCUUGUGCUUCAGGCAUUGCCCAAUAACAUCAAUGGGAGAUUGUUGCACAAAGCAGAUUGAUCUUGUGAACUAAUGAACUAUAGUGGUUUAAGGGUUCUUCAAAAUAAAAAGCGUUUAGCAGAUUUGGUCAU